rnacentral:lncRNA from 1 species
CAAUUACAGUGACCUCCGACAACCGCGUGUGCAUUGGCAUGCAAACGUCUCCAAGAGCCAUUGAGCCAAAACACUGCCAGAGGCUCCGUGUGACACCAGCCAAGCCCUGUUACUUGGGGGUCGUGAGUGUGACAUGCACCCACGGGAGAGGCAAGCACCCACCUGAGGACCAAGGGUGGGGCUGGGGGGCUGCCGCAGGCCCUGGCGUUUUCCUCGAUGCUUCCUCAUCCUGGGUGGGCAGCCUCAGAGCCCCCUUUGCAUGCCUUCUGCUGCGAGAGCUGUUGAAUUCAGAGAGAUGUCCCUUCGGAGAACCGCGGGUGUGAAGUCGCCCUGCCACCUGCGGAGUCAGCAACACAUUCCCUUCUGGGGGGCAUGUGCCAGAGGUCCUGGGUGGUUGAGGCUCCAGCCCCGAGUGAGAGGCGACUGCAUUUAAACAGAUCUGAAAGCAGCUGUGAUGGUGGCAGGACCUCGAGGAUAAAGAAGAAACAGGAGUUUGAUUGUCUUUAUAAGAUGUGCUCUACGCUCACCCUCUCCACGAUCAACAAGACACAGGCGUGUUCCGGUCCCCGUGUGUGGUCACGUCAGCCAGCGUGCACGUCGGAGUUGGUGCAGCCUGGGGCUCUGGUUUUCUCUCUGGAAGGAAAGGCCACAGAGAACCAUCCGAAUCAUUUUCAGGAACAGUUGGGUUACUUGCAGCUGCGCCUGUCAUGAGAGUCUGGGCUCAUGAAUUUUAUUGUGCUGAGUCCCGCUAGAGAAGGACUUUACAAACCUGUAUUUUUCUUACCUCAUAAUAAAAGCACCAGGAAGUGAGCA